UUUUGUUGGUUUCUAGGACCGCCGUAAUGAUUAAUAGGGAUAGUUGGGGGCAUUAGUAUUCAAUUGUCAGAGGUGAAAUUCUUGGAUUUAUUGAAAACUAACUACUGCGAAAGCAUUUGCCAAGGAUGUUUUCAUUAAUCAAGAACGAAAGUUAGGGGAUCGAAGACGAUUAGAUACCGUCGUAGUCUUAACCAUAAACUAUGCCGACUAGGGAUCGGGCGCAGUUUCAAAUGACUCGCUCGGCACCUUAAGAGAAAUCAAAGUUUUUGGGUUCUGGGGGGAGUAUGGUCGCAAGGCUGAAACUUAAAGGAAUUGACGGAAGGGCACCACCAGGAGUGGAGCCUGCGGCUUAAUUUGACUCAACACGGGGAAACUCACCAGGUCCAGACACAGUAAGGAUUGACAGAUUGAGAGCUCUUUCUUGAUUCUGUGAUUGGUGGUGCAUGGCCGUUCUUAGUUGGUGGAGUGAUUUGUCUGCCUAAUCGCGAUAACGAACGAGACCCUUACCUGCUAAAUAGUCGACUCGGCUCCGGCCGGGACCUUUUCGGUCAUGACUUCUUAGAGGGACUGGAGGCUCCAAGCCUCAGGAAGCCGGGGGCAAUAACAGGUCUGUGAUGCCCUUAGAUGUUCUGGGCCGCACGCGCGCUACACUGAUAAAGUCAGCGAGUUUUAUUCUUUGAAUAGUCCUUGGCCGGAAGGCCUGGGCAAUCUUGUUAACUUUUAUCGUGCUGGGGAUAGAGCAUUGCAAU
rnacentral:rRNA from 1 species